rnacentral:rRNA from 1 species
GACGAACGCUGGCGGCGUGCUUAACACAUGCAAGUCGAACGGAAAGGCCCUGCUUGCAGGGUACUCGAGUGGCGAACGGGUGAGUAACACGUGGGUGAUCUGCCCUGCACUUCGGGAUAAGCUUGGGAAACUGGGUCUAAUACCGGAUAGGACCGCACUUUAGUGUUUGUGGUGGAAAGUUUUUUCGGUGUAGGAUGAGCUCGCGGCCUAUCAGCUUGUUGGUGGGGUAAUGGCCUACCAAGGCGGCGACGGGUAGUCGGCCUGAGAGGGUGUACGGCCACAUUGGGACUGAGAUACGGCCCAGACUCCUACGGGAGGCAGCAGUGGGGAAUAUUGCACAAUGGGCGCAAGCCUGAUGCAGCGACGCCGCGUGGGGGAUGAAGGCCUUCGGGUUGUAAACUCCUUUCGCUAGGGACGAAGCUUUUUGUGACGGUACCUAGAUAAGAAGCACCGGCUAACUACGUG